rnacentral:rRNA from 1 species
UAGCUACAGGCUUAACACAUGCAAGUCGAGGGGCAGCAUUUCGCUAGCAAUAGUGAAGAUGGCGACCGGCGCACGGGUGAGUAACACGUAUCCAACCUGCCGAUAACUCGGAGAUAGCCUUUCGAAAGAAAGAUUAAUAUCCGAUGGUAUAUUAAGAUCGCAUGGUUUUACUAUUAAAGAAUUUCGGUUAUCGAUGGGGAUGCGUUCCAUUAGUUUGUUGGCGGGGUAACGGCCCACCAAGACUACGAUGGAUAGGGGUUCUGAGAGGAAGGUCCCCCACAUUGGAACUGAGACACGGUCCAAACUCCUACGGGAGGCAGCAGUGAGGAAUAUUGGUCAAUGGGCGAGAGCCUGAACCAGCCAAGUAGCGUGAGGGAUGAAGGCUCUAUGGGUCGUAAACCUCUUUUAUAUGGGAAUAAAGUUUUCCACGUGUGGAAUUUUGUAUGUACCAUAUGAAUAAGGAUCGGCUAACUCCGUGCCAGCAGCCGCGGUAAUACGGAGGAUCCGAGCGUUAUCCGGAUUUAUUGGGUUUAAAGGGAGCGUAGGUGGAUUGUUAAGUCAGUUGUGAAAGUUUGCGGCUCAACCGUAAAAUUGCAGUUGAAACUGGCAGUCUUGAGUACAGUAGAGGUGGGCGGAAUUCGUGGUGUAGCGGUGAAAUGCUUAGAUAUCACGAAGAACUCCGAUUGCGAAGGCAGCUCACUAGACUGCAACUGACACUGAGGCUCGAAAGUGUGGGUAUCAAACAGGAUUAGAUACCCUGGUAGUCCACACAGUAAACGAUGAAUACUCGCUGUUUGCGAUAUACAGCAAGCGGCCAAGCGAAAGCAUUAAGUAUUCCACCUGGGGAGUACGCCGGCAACGGUGAAACUCAAAGGAAUUGACGGGGGCCCGCACAAGCGGAGGAACAUGUGGUUUAAUUCGAUGAUACGCGAGGAACCUUACCCGGGCUUAAAUUGCAAAUGAAUAAUCUGGAAACAGGUUAGCCGCAAGGCAUUUGUGAAGGUGCUGCAUGGUUGUCGUCAGCUCGUGCCGUGAGGUGUCGGCUUAAGUGCCAUAACGAGCGCAACCCUUAUCUUUAGUUACUAACAGGUCAUGCUGAGGACUCUAGAGAGACUGCCGUCGUAAGAUGUGAGGAAGGUGGGGAUGACGUCAAAUCAGCACGGCCCUUACGUCCGGGGCUACACACGUGUUACAAUGGGGGGUACAGAAGGCAGCUACCUGGCGACAGGAUGCUAAUCCCAAAACCUCUCUCAGUUCGGAUCGAAGUCUGCAACCCGACUUCGUGAAGCUGGAUUCGCUAGUAAUCGCGCAUCAGCCAUGGCGCGGUGAAUACGUUCCCGGGCCUUGUACACACCGCCCGUCAAGCCAUGAAAGCCGGGGGUACCUGAAGUACGUAACAGCAAGGAGCGUCCUAGGGUAAAACUGGUAAUUGGGGCUAAGU